CUCUUCCAAUCUGUUUAAUUACAAAUAAAAAAUAAAAAAUGAUCGCUGUGGAAUAGCAUUAGUCAGUAGCACUUUCUGGCACGAAGGAUAGAUUCUAUAU